AUUGAACGCUGGCGGCAUGCCUUACACAUGCAAGUCGAACGGCAGCACGGGAGCAAUCCUGGUGGCGAGUGGCGAACGGGUGAGUAAUACAUCGGAACGUACCUGGUAGUGGGGGAUAGCCCGGCGAAAGCCGGAUUAAUACCGCAUACGACCUGAGGGUGAAAGCGGGGGAUCGCAAGACCUCGCGCUAUUGGAGCGGCCGAUGGCAGAUUAGGUAGUUGGUGGGGUAAAGGCCUACCAAGCCUACGAUCUGUAGCUGGUUUGAGAGGACGACCAGCCACACUGGGACUGCGACACGGCCCAGACUCCUACGGGAGGCAGCAGUGGGGAAUUUUGGACAAUGGGCGCAAGCCUGAUCCAGCCAUGCCGCGUGCGGGAAGAAGGCCUUCGGGUUGUAAACCGCUUUUGUCAGGGAAGAAAUACUCUGGGCUAACACCCUGGGGUGAUGGCGGUACCUGAAGAAUAAGCACCGGCUAACUACGUGCCAGCCGCCGCCGUAAAAC
rnacentral:rRNA from 1 species